UACGGGGGGGGCAAGCGUUGUUCGGAAUUACUGGGCGUAAAGGGCUCGUAGGCGGCCAACUAAGUCAGACGUGAAAUCCCUCGGCUUAACCGGGGAACUGCGUCUGAUACUGGAGGGCUUGAGUGUGGGAGAGGGAUGCGGAAUUCCAGGUGUAGCGGUGAAAUGCGUAGAUAUCGUAAGGAAGACCAGUGGCGAAGGCGGGUCUCUGGACAGUUCCUGACGCUGAGGCACGAAGGCCAGGGGAGCAAACGGG
rnacentral:rRNA from 1 species